rnacentral:rRNA from 1 species
UGGUGGAGCGAUUUGUCUGGUUAAUUCCGAUAACGAACGAGACUCUGGCCAAUUAAAUAGUUCGCCGAUUCCGAUCUGUCGGCGUUAACUUCUUAGAGGGACAAGUGGCUUUUAGCCACGCGAGAUUGAGCAAUAACA